UACGAAGGGGGCUAGCGUUGCUCGGAAUCACUGGGCGUAAAGGGCGCGUAGGCGGCGUUUUAAGUCGGGGGUGAAAGCCUGUGGCUCAACCACAGAAUGGCCUUCGAUACUGGGACGCUUGAGUAUGGUAGAGGUUGGUGGAACUGCGAGUGUAGAGGCGAAAUUCGUAGAUAUUCGCAAGAACACCGGUGGCGAAGGCGGCCAACUGGACCAUUACUGACGCUGAGGCGCGAAAGCGUGGGGAGCAAACAGG
rnacentral:rRNA from 1 species